rnacentral:rRNA from 1 species
UACGGAGGAUGCGAGCGUUAUCCGGAUUUAUUGGGUUUAAAGGGUGCGUAGGCGGACCAGUAAGUCAGCGGUGAAAUACCCCGGCUCAACCGGGGGGCUGCCGUUGAUACUGCUGGACUGGAGUACAAGCGGCGCAGGCGGAAUGUGUCAUGUAGCGGUGAAAUGCAUAGAUAUGACACAGAACACCGAUCGCGAAGGCAGCUUGCGAGGAUGGUACUGACGCUGAGGCACGAAGGCGCGGGGAUCGAAC